ACACAUGCAGUCGACGGUGACGAGGGAGCUUGCUCCUUCUGAUCAGUGGCGAACGGGUGAGUAACACGUGAGUAACCUGCCCCUGACUCUGGGAUAAGCACUGGAAACGGUGUCUAAUACCGGAUACGAGCUUCAGCCGCAUGGCUAGGAGUUGGAAAGAAUUUCGGUUGGGGAUGGACUCGCGGCCUAUCAGCUUGUUGGUGAGGUAAUGGCUCACCAAGGCGACGACGGGUAGCCGGCCUGAGAGGGUGACCGGCCACACUGGGACUGAGACACGGCCCAGACUCCUACGGGAGGCAGCAGUGGGGAAUAUUGCACAAUGGGCGAAAGCCUGAUGCAGCAACGCCGCGUGAGGGACGACGGCCUUCGGGUUGUAAACCUCUUUUAGUAGGGAAGAAGCGAAAGUGACGGUACCUGCAGAAAAAGCACCGGCUAACUACGUGCCAGCAGCCGCGGUAAUACGUAGGGUGCAAGCGUUGUCCGGAAUUAUUGGGCGUAAAGAGCUCGUAGGCGGUUUGUCGCGUCUGCUGUGAAAACCCGAGGCUCAACCUCGGGCCUGCAGUGGGUACGGGCAGACUAGAGUGCGGUAGGGGAGAUUGGAAUUCCUGGUGUAGCGGUGGAAUGCGCAGAUAUCAGGAGGAACACCAAUGGCGAAGGCAGAUCUCUGGGCCGUAACUGACGCUGAGGAGCGAAAGCAUGGGGAGCGAACAGGAUUAGAUACCCUGGUAGUCCAUGCCGUAAACGUUGGGAACUAGAUGUGGGGACCAUUCCACGGUCUCCGUGUCGCAGCUAACGCAUUAAGUUCCCCGCCUGGGGAGUACGGCCGCAAGGCUAAAACUC
rnacentral:rRNA from 2 species